UACGGAGGGUGCAAACGUUGCUCGGAAUCAUUGGGCGUAAAGCGCACGUAGGCGGCUCGUUAAGUCGGGUGUGAAAGCCCUCGGCUCAACCGAGGAAGUGCAUUCGAAACUGGCGAGCUUGAAUAUGGAAGAGGGUCGCGGAAUUCCCGGUGUAGAGGUGAAAUUCGUAGAUAUCGGGAGGAACACCAGUGGCGAAGGCGGCGACCUGGGCCAAUAUUGACGCUGAGGUGCGAAAGCGUGGGAGCAAACAGG
rnacentral:rRNA from 1 species